CCUCAUUAUCACAUUAAUGAUGUCAGACACUGAAAAGAAAGUAGAGAAAUCACUUGUCUUAUCAUCUAAUGUCUUUUCAUUAGGCAUCCAGUCAAGGGAUUUUAAAGACAUUGACAUUGACAGCUAACAGGCAGUUGAUAUUAAUUCUGCUGAAAGCAAUAAUGAAGCAGCCAGUUUCCAAACAACCUGGCAAUAACCUGGUGGGACCUCAAAUGGGAGGGUGCUGGAAUCUUUUAAAAUUAAACUUACUUUUUGCUUGGUUGGAAUUGCUUUAAUUCAGGGGUAGUGAGAGCGGGCAGAGGUUGGGGAGGAGACAGAUUGGGUUUCAAUCAUUUAUCAAUGUUUUAAUUAUUUUUCAGGGAAGUUCCUUAGCAGGUUGGAGGAUAAUAUCAUUGUUUGAAAAGACUUUUAGCCAUCUAUCCAAAGUCACACAAGACUGCAAUAUGGAGGCCAACUCAAGGGAUUUGGGGAGAUCUUUCUGCUCCAUUAAAAUUUUGAGAAACAUAUUUUGGAUUCUGGAAAUUUCUGAAAAAUUCCUCAAAAUUAUGGUUUCCGUACUUUACCUCAGGGUUCUUUCCUAACUUUUUAAGAUGGAUUGAGAAAUUAGAGGGGGAAUCCUGAGAUCAUUUCCCAAGAAUCUUCAAAAAAGUCACCUCAGGCACUUUCUUUUUGAAUGCCGUAUUUUCCAGCAUCUAGUCUCAGCACAAAUCUCUUGCAUGUACAAUAAGCAUAAAUAACAAGUUCUAAAAUCUUGUACUUCCCUUUAAAAGGAUGGAAUGCCCCUGGCAAACACAACCAAUUAAAUACCCUUUGUAGCGCUUCCUUAGGUGCUGAAUUUUGGGAGGCCAAAUCCUGAUCAUUGUCAACAUGUUCUUUUGAAGUAAUGAUUUAUAUGGUAUAUUGUCAGGGUUUUAAUGAUCAAAGGUAACAAUGUUUUGUUUCUUUUGUGCUCUUUGUUUGAAGAAAUGCAAAAACCAGCUGGUGUUAGCUGCACAGCUUGAACCGCCCACCC
rnacentral:lncRNA from 1 species